AGCCAGAGCUGGAGCACGUUAUUUGUCUUGUGGACAAGGAAAUGAGUGGCUUGGGCUGGAUGUGGGGUGAAUGGCACUCGGACAAAUUUUGAGGAGUGACCUCCAAGGGAGAGGCACAAACCCAGUAAAGGGACAGUCACAUGCGCUGUCUGAUGCACAGCUCCUCCAUUUACUUCUGGGCUGAGUUCAUGUGAUAGACAAGCAUCCAGAGUAUCUAACAAGAGAAGAAUCUCCUUUGAAUGCUGAGGAGGCAAUUCAGAGGAAGGACAAACCCCCUUACACCUCUUAGGAGUGGCCAGAGCAUGUUGAUCUGAAGAGUCAUCUAGCAAGUCUCCGUGGGACUGAGGCUGAGGUUCCCAGGUUUCUAUUAUACUAAUGCAGAAACUCCAGGUUGAUGUGGAGAAGGGCAGGGGGAAAUUGCCUCCCAGAUGAAAUAUAUGGCAAGAACAGGUAUAUUUCCAAACUGUUUCAAGGAAAUAGUUUUUAAGCUAUUUGUCACUCUGCUGCAUGAAAUGAUCAGACACACUGUCCAAUCAACAGCAAAUGAGAAAUGUACAGGUAUGAAAAUGUUCUGUUUUACCAAACUAUUUUUUCCAAAGUGACCCACCUUUCUUUGAGUGAAUUUAUUGCCUCGUGCUGCUGGGAUGCAGCUCUCGUCUGCAGAGCUGUCACAGUGAUGGCUCCCAGCACUUUGAGUUUUAACCGUUAAAACUAUUUUCAUGAUGUUCAAAGUACUUCAGAAACAACUGCCUUUAUUGCUUAAUUGUUGUGCUCAAUUACUGUGGCAGUGGGCAGCUUAUGAAGGUCUGUGAUGGUGAUGAGAAUUCAUUUAUUCUAACCUCUCUUUCUCAAUUACAAAUAAUGCUGUCAGAGAUUGUUUUACCCAGAGAAGGUCUGAUGUAAUUCAAAACACCCCCUCGUCCUUAAGAUGCUGUAGCAGCUCUGAAGAGUGUCUGACACUGCUUGUGCUUUGUAAGGAGACACCUUUGUGUGCUGAAGAAAAUUGCCACUGCAAGAGGUAUUUUAUGGAAAAAUGUAUUUCUGGAAACAGUUGCGGAGAGGUGCACAAAACAGUACUGCAGAAUUUUAUUUCUCAUGUCUAAAUUGCCUGGUAUAUAUUUGUGAGGUGUUUCAUAGGGUUGUGAGCACUUUACUGGCUUUGUAGGUGUUUGAGCAGUGCCUAAAGCAAUGGGACUUCCUGCCCUGAAGGGACCUUUGCAAAGUCCAUCUCUACAAAUGAGUAUUGACGCUGCUUUGGCUGCUUGUAAACCAGAAAAGGCUGAUGUAUGUAGGAGGCUUUAGUACUGAUAGGGUAUUAAAAUCAAAGGUGGUUUCAAUUUCUUCUCACUCAUGAAAUGGGGCAUGUUCUAGAGGCACAUGACAAUUUGCCACAGUGGUCUUCAGAUAGACAAAAUUUUGUUCUCAUGAAAAAAAAACAUAUUUCCUUUCCACACUGUGUUUCCACUCAUGCCCUGAGAAUCCCCUCUGUGUUGGGAUGCUAUAGGGAUGGCACACCUUAGGGGAGGGUGAUCGCUGUGUGCCUGUGAUACUUGCUGGCACCUCAACACCCUGCUCAAAGCAUCAGAGGGGCAGGAUCUCUGUGCACCCUUUCAAGCUGUGCAUCAUGGAUUUUUUCCAGCAAAGACUGUAUUUCCUGCCUCAUCCAGACAUGCUAACGAGGCACCUGUGACAUCUGACAGGGCCUGCCGACGGAGAUGUGAAAGAAAAUAGCAGAGGGAGAAGGAAGGCAAAGCAUCAUUUUGGAAGCAUGAGAACUUCUGAAACAUUAAUCUGUUUACAGAAGUGAUGUUUUCCAGUGAAGAAAAAAAUGUGUUUGACUGCUGGCCAAAGGAGGAGCAGGAUGAUCGGAAACAGGCAGCAAGAACAAACAGGCAUAUGAAG